UCUGGCAUUCAUAAAAAAAAUCUCAUACAGCGUAAUGAUUUGUGUCGUUAAUGUUAUGAACAGAGAUACGUCCUUAUACGCUAUUAUGCUAUUAAUUUACAUGUUAUAACACCGGAAACUCAUGAAUACUUAUUUUAGCUCUAAUGAACAAACAAAAACAACACAUAAACUGAAUCAAUCAGCAUCAUUUUAACCCCUAAAACAAAAUCACAUUCAUUCCUAUAAAUAAACAUAGGCAAUAUAGGAUUAUCAACCAGUAAAUUAAUUCAGUAAUAGUGUUCAUUCCCUUAAAUCAUCAACUAAAACCAUCAUCUAAUAUCUCUCAAUACCUCAUUCGGUAGACCUAGGACAAAAAAUAAAAGAAAGGGGUCAAUCUGCCCCAGAAUAUUUAACCACCGUGUGGAGCCAGGGACCACGCCGGUGAUGACCGGAGAAGAUGAAAAAGAAGCGGUUGGUUCAGUAGUUCAUCCUACCCACCACCAUCUGUUGAAACCAAAGAACCAUGCAGCCCAACCACGGCCAGAGGCGAAGACCCUUCCUUACCUUACCGAUAGAGCCAUGGAGACUCCACCCCCCUUAGCCAAAUCGCAUCCAAACGAGGAUGCAUACUUCUCUCGCUGCCGACGUCAUGAAUGGUACCUCUGCCAUCGCCAAACCGCGUCUAGGAGUGGGUCACUUUCUUGAAGUCGUUGGACCGUGCUCCGGCAGGCACUGCUACCUCUGGAUGGCCACCGUAGAAGGAGGAAGAGAGUCUGAUAGCCUUGCUGCUUCGGUAUGUCGUGUCAUCACCAUAAAAGCUGCUAACCGCCGCUGAGAUUGGUGUUGCGCUUAGGGAUUUCAUUCCCUUUGGUCUUUGGAACGAACAGGGGUAACAGGAUUACCCCUUUCUUCUAAAUAAAGUGUUUGCUUUUAUUUUAGUUUUCUCAUUUAGUCUUUUUAUUUUAUUUGUUAAAAAUUCCCUUUAGUUCACCAUUAUGUGGUUUUGGGCUGCUAAUCCAUUUAGCUAAUAAUGGAAGCCCGUAAACUUAUUUCCAUUUGUUUAUACUUUUAGCUACUAAGGAGUGUUUUCAUCAAGAUAGUGUAUUAAUUUAUUUUUAGCAUAUCUUAUCAAUAAAGACUAAAUGAUGAUGAUAAAAAAAUAUAUUAAAAGAGAAAUUGAUAGUGAGGUUACAAUUUGUGUCGUAUCUUGCCUCUUACUUCAAGUCAAGCAUUGGUCGCGGUCACUUGUACUACUUCUGGUAUUUAUCGAAGUAAGAGGGUGGUUAAUGACCAAUGUCGAUUCUUCACUUAUUAAUUCCCUCUUUAAAAAUAUCCAAGCUCUGUUAUAAAAAUUAAUAAUGUUUUAAUUAUUUUGGGAUUCAAUAGUGAUGUUACAACUCGUAUUGCAUCUUUCUCUUCGCUUCGAACCGAGAACCAGUCGUGGCCACUUGUACUGCUUCUGCUAUCUAUCGAAGCGGGAAGAGGGUAAGCAAUCAAGGUUGAUUCUUCGUUUUUUAAUCUCACAUCAAUUAAAUCGAAACAAAGUUCUUCUAAUCAAAGCAACUUACCAUUAUUUUAAAGAAUUACGUAGUCUUGAUUUCCCUAUUGUAGUCGGGGAUACGUAUGAGUAAUAUGAACUUGUCAGACACAAAUAAAAAUAAAAUAUAUUUUGUUUAAGUAAUUUAAUUUAAAUAAAUUAAGGGUGUUCAAUUUAUGCAAUUAGUCAGGGUACCAUUUUAUUACAGGCGAACGGGGUGCUAAUACCUUCCCCAAUUCGUAAUCGCCUCCCGAACCUGGAUAUCAAAAAUCUAAAAGCCCAAUGUGAUUGGGCUUUAAAUACUUUUCUAUAUUUUUUACCAUAAAAUGUUGUAGCGACUCUAAGAUGUCACGUAUCCGAAAAUCGAGGCGCGACUGGAUAUGAUUCGAUGGAUCUAUUGAAUAUUUAAAUGAAAACGUGGACCUUGCUGAUUGUAGAGCUCACCUUUAACUAAUGUAUAUUCUCCACUUUUGUACAUUAAGUUAUCCCAUAGAACAUGUAUAAUUCCAUCCUAAGAAAGUGGCUUUCCCAUUACAUACAAAUGCCACUAAUAUCAAUGUUGUAAUUUAACAAGAAGAGAAAUAACUUAUGUUAAAGUAUUGUCUUUUCGUUUGUCAAUGACAUCAGUAAUAAUAAUAAGGAUAUAUAUAAUAUAAAACAAAUAAAUGGUAAAUGGAUUUGUCAUGUUAUCUUAUGUGUAAGGAUGUAUAGAAAUGGAUAUGGAGCUUUUGGAGGGAAAAUUUUCAUUGAGGUAAUGACAUUUGUCAUAGGUGAUGUGCAAUGAGCUUUCUCUAUUAUAUAGUAAAUAGAAUAGAUAAAUAAAUUUCAUGAUGAAAGGUGUGUUACAUAUAGUUUUGGCUCUACCAAAAUAGCAUAAAUUAAACAUACAUCAAUGGCCUAAACUUCUCAUAUGAACAUGCAUUACAAGGCUAGGUUCAAUGUAUCUCUUAAAAGGAAAUAAACACAACUUUAACUAUAUGGCAGUCAUAUAAGGCAAGUAAGCAUACAACCAUAACUCCUUGAAUUUUGAAUUGAUUCUCACGGCCAUAAGAAGUGCACACGCCCAUGAGUUGUCCAAGUUCAAUGAAUCCCAUAAAAGGAAACAUUCCACACGCCUAACACCCACAAGGAUUUUACCACAUGGCCAUUAAGUGUUAUAAUUUUAAUUCAAAUGAUUUGCUUCCAAGAAAGGCAACAAUUGAACACACCUAACACCCAUAAGGAAACCUACUAAACGAUUUCCCCUUACUUCUCACAGCCAUAAUAUGUUAUUUUGAAUUCAAAGACAAAAAAAAGGAAACAAAUAAAACACUAUCAUAAAUUACAUGGUAACCCUAAAAAAAAUUAUAUCACUCUCUCUCUCUCUCCUUGACUCACACGACCACAAAAGGAAAUAAAUUCCUUAAGUUCCAUGUUAAUCCGUAAAAAAUGAAAUAAAUCAUAUCACAAUCUCUCCCAAUGUGAUUGUGCUUUAAAUAUUUUUCUGCAUUUUUGACCAUAAAAAUAUAGUGGCGACUCUAAGAGGUCGCGUAGCAGAAAUCUGAGCGCGACAGCUAGCGACUCUGCUGGAGACAUUUUUUUAGUGAUUCAGGCCCAAUAUCACUUUUUGCAUGUUUGUUUUAUACCAUUAUUCCUUCUUUGUUUUUGCAAACUUGUGUAUGCAUCUUUAUUUAUGUGAAUAUUUAUUUUUCGAGUCAAUUAAUUAUUUUGAACAUACUCACCUAUUUUUUGUGCAACUUUUGGGAAGUGGAUUUAUUUUAGAGUCUACGUGCUUCCUCACACACUCACUUGGUACACUUCAGUUGCACACACCCUACACCCGGGUGUUAGAGAUUUAGAUUAAGAUAAGGGGACAUUUGCUUUGCUGGUAAGUGACCUUGUGUCACAUCGAGUAUUGGCAUGAUGAACCACCCAGAUUGUUCCUAUAUAUCAUGAGUUGGCCGCCUGGGGAGCUAGUCUCUUCUUGUAAUAAGCCCAUGAUAUGUGGUUUCCUUUCUUUUUAAGAUUAGAUGCAAUCUGGCAACCUUUACAAGUCUAGAACAUUAUCGAGUCCACUUUUGACAAGACCUAGCAUUCCACCUAGGGUUGCGACUUUUAGAAUUUCUAAAAACCUUAUAGGUAUAUCUUAUUUGGUACACGGGAAGCUUAACUUAAUUUUGUAUGUUAUCAUUAUGAAUUGGGACUGUUGGCCCUAAAAAUGUGUUCAUGCCUGAAUGUUAUGAGGAUAUCAUUGCACUUUGAUGUCCUUGUAUCACAAGGACGACUUAAUUUUCAUUCCCUUCGGUGAGCUCAACGCCCUAGGGAUAAUUUUCAUUCCCUUCGAUAGGCUCAACGCAUUAGGGAUAUUUCUCACUUCCCUUCAAUGGGCUCAAUGCCCUAAGGAUAAUUCUCAUUUCCCUUCGAUAUGUUAGGUAUCAGUAGUCUAGACACACUUAGAAGGGGGGGGGGGGUUGAAUAGGGGUAGGGGUUAUCAAUUACCGCUUUUCNNNNNNNNNNNNNNNNNNNNNNNNNNNNNNNNNNNNNNNNNNNNNNNNNNNNNNNNNNNNNNNNNNNNNNNNNNNNNNNNNNNNNNNNNNNNNNNNNNNNCCUUGGUUUGACUAUCCCUAUCGCCCAAGAAAACCUUUCUCACGAUCCAGCCCUAGCCAAGAUUCUCGCUCUAAAUUCAAGACCUCCAAGCCUUGGUGAAGAUUCACUCAAUCUCAAUGGUGGUAAGACACCAAGAGACAAAACCCAAAGUACAAGACAAUAUACAAAAGUAGAGUUUUACUAUGCACUAAUAUGCUCAAAUUACAACAACGAAAACUCAAAGAUUAACCCACACUCAAGUAACACAAGCCAUCAUGAAUGCAUGCGAGUUAAUACAAAACAGAUAAUGCAUAAUCUUUCUCUUAAAAUCUCUAAUCAGAAUGCACGAACAUGCAAGAAAGAAUGAAUGAGAUUAAGCACAUGAAAACAACAUGCAAUACACUAUGAACACUAUGAACUAAGCAUGUUAAUCUCUCUUUCUCACACAUGCAUCUCUCUUCUUCCUAUACAAUACAGUAAAUCACGAAUUCAACAAAAUGAUAUGCAAUGCUACACGUUUUUGUAAGUUAACAGAAUUUAUACAAAACAGAUUUGGCUCCACAAACCGUUUCUUAGUUACGCAGUUAAAACAGAAAAUAGACACGUUAAUCGAUUAAGACUCCACGUUAAUCGAUUAACUAACAUAUUUCAUUAUGUGAUUAAAUGGUAAACUACUUAUAUGUUAUGCUUGACUCAUAUACAUGUUUUAGCAAUUAUGUUAUGCCUAAUAUGCACAUAUAACAUGUAUGAUUAAUGCAUGAAUACAUAAUAAACUAGAUGAUAUGCCUCAUGAAUAUGAUAUGUCAAUAUUAAUGGCUUGUGAGACUUGCAUCUAGGUUUACCUAACCCAGACUCACUAACUAAGGCACACAUCCCAGACUAGUUAGAAAUAUAACUCUAUUAAUAUAACCUAGUCUAGAUAUGAUCAUUGAGUUCUAGGCAUAUUAAUUGUUGAGACAUCUUCAAGCUUUUACUAACUUCUUGUAUUAAUCAAAACAUCGGAAAAACAUUGCUCCUUGACACUUUGCACUUUCAAUCUCCCCCUUUUUGAUAAUGACAAACACCACAUCAAACACUUCAUUAAAUUUGAUGAAAUAGCUUGACGAUGUUGUACAUUUGCAUAGCGGUUGUGAAUUCAAAGUUGAAGCCCUUGCUCUCCCCCUUAGGUAAGCAAUGAUUACUACGGAAGUUAAUUUACCACCUGCAAAUACACCAAACACAACAAGCAACCUUUCUCCCCCUUUUCACAUUAUCAAAAAGAUACGAAUAUUCAAUUCUAGUCAAAAGUCAGAAGAGUUAUAUGGUUAAGACAGACUGUAAUUAAUUAAUUAAUUUCGGGCGUUUAAUUAAUCAACUAGCUAUAAGAAAAUUGCACAAAUGCUUAUUUUUAUAUGAUUUAAUCGAUUAAAAUAAGUGCCUAAUCAAUUAAAUUGACAGUAAAUAGUGACAUAACUGAUUUAAUGACAUGAAAGGCUAUGUGAAGUCAAAUUAGACAUGUAAUGAUUAAGCAAUGAUAUAAUUGAACAGUAAAACAGCAGGCUUAAUCAAUCAACAGGAGUACAUACACCAAACAUGAUCAAGAUCCAUUAAACAUAAAUCCAUACUAUUUACGACAUAAUUAACCAUUAAGCAUGAAAUAGACAAAUUGAAAACAAAAAUGCAUUACUUCCAAUUGUAAAUAGCAAGGUACAAUUACGCAUAAUACCAACACAAGUUUAGUAGAAGAUAAGUAUAUAGCUAUUACAAUCCAUAUGCAAAAGCAAAAUAGAAAAUGAAGUUCUCAAGAGGGAAGCAAGGAUCAACAUAAUCCACAAACUAGGAAGGAUAAACCUAAGGAUCUAAGGUCUCCUAACUAUGGAUGAGAUUGAGGGUUUUUAUCGUCAGGAAUGAUCGUGCCACCACCACCAUUGAUGAGGGUGCUCAACUUUUUGAACUCGGCACACAACCUCUUGCUUUGUGAAUCAGCAGUGGUCUGAACGAAGUUCCUCAAGGUUUGAUAAUGUUUAUCGAUGUAGGCAAUCUGACGCUCUUCAAAGUUCUCUAAAUCAGUAUGGUAUGUGUCUUUUAAUGACUGAAAAUGUAGAUCCAUCUUGUUGUUAUGUCGUUGUUCCGUAGCAUCCAAGAGAGCUGGUCCAAAGGCUGGUUCUCGUGUUGCAUUUUCAGAAGACUCCCCCUGAGUUGUAGCGUUCAGCUCAUGUGUUUUAGCUUGAUCAUCCUCACCAGAUGGGUCGAGGUUCACAGUGUUGAAAUCCUCCUGGUAUUUCCAAGUGUUGCCAUACUUGUAGAUUCCCAUCUUGUGAAUCAAACUUUCACCAAUCAAGUGAUCUUUAUCAGAACAUUCCACAACAAUAAUAUCAAAAACAUCAAUAUUCAGAUAGUCAAUAAUGUGCGAGAUGAAAAUAUUGUAGGGAAGUAACUUCGAUUGCGAUGUAGAGACACUAUACAUGACCUUCAAGAUCUCUUCAGGCCAAUUAAUCAUCACAUUUUCCUUGACCGCAUACAUGAACCUCAAAUCAUUCACGGCGGGUUGUGCAUGAUUUGUGUUCCUUUGAAUCAAUAUGUAUGCAAUCAGAUAUUGCAGGAGCCUAUUCUCUACGGAUAAUGACCUAACUUUUGUCAAUUCUCCUUGAACAUAUAGUUGAGGUCUCCUCAAACACGACUUAUACACAUCAACAACAUCAAAAGAGUUUUUAACACAGUCACAAUCUCCUAGACUAGCACCAUUACUCGAUAAUCCACCCACAUUCAUGAAUAUGUCAUUAGUCAGCUGAAAUAGUUUUCCAGAUAUCAUAGACCAAUACUUUCCAUCCUUGUAUCUAAAAUUAGCAUAAUGUUCCCUAACUAGAGCAGGGUAAAUGUUACCUUUCAAUUCCAAAAAGGGGACAACCCCUUGCGCUUGCAUUCCAUGCGGAAAAUCGAAGUUUUGUUCCGCUAACCAAGUUAAGUUGGCAUACCUUAUGUAUGCAGGCUUUCUUCCCUAAAACUUGAGCAACCGAGUCUCUUGCAAAAUCAGAGAGUAAUAUGGGUCUCCACGGUCCUGCCUCACAUUCGGAUUUGAAGAUACAACUUUUUGAGCACGUGGUGGAUGUUGAGCGGUUAUCUUAAUCCUUUUUGCGCGACCUCUUUCCAUUUGUAGCUGAAAAACUAAGUUGAUUUGGAGGUUGAGGUUUUGAAAAAUGCCUAGAAACGCUUUUGUUUCUAUUUAUCUGAUACUGUUAAUCGAUUAACUACCAGACUUAAUCGAUUAACCAAGUUAAAAAAACAACAGGUUUUAAAAAAUGUGCCCAAGUAAUCGAUUAAAAUAAGGACUUAAUCUAUUAAAUAAUAUCAUAUUUAGAGAAUAAAGAGCAUUUUGGAUGUUUAAAAGCAAGCAAAGAUUUCUAACUUUUAGAAGGCAAUGUUGAGCAGUCACAUAUAUGAAUAGAGCUUAUUUAUAGAAUCAUGAAUCAUAUAAGGAAUAACUAGCAUUCAACAUAUUUUCAUUUUCAAGCAUACAAGGCAAAUAAUCAUGCAAGGCAAUAACAUAAACUCAAUUAAGAUAUUUUUCAUCAAGGAUUCCUAGUUCUCUUCGAAAAACAUAGAAGGUAUCUCGUGAGAGGGGCCUGGUGAAUAUCCGCUAAUUGCUUAGAGGUUUCUACGAAUUCUAGCACACAAUCACCUUUUUUGCACAUGAUCACAUAAAAAGUGAUUCCUAAUCUCUACAUGCUUGGUUUUUUAGGUAUCAGUAGCAGAAUACACCUAGAAGGGGGGGUUGAAUAGGUGCGGCGGAGCUCAAGUUCCACUUUUUGGGUUUUUGCACUCUUGCUGAAAAAUGCCAAGUUAAUCGAUUAACUAGUGGGCUUAAUCGAUUAAAUCAAAACAUAAACAGAAUGAUCAGAUCAGCAACUUACAUAGUUAUUAACCAACACAUAAGCAUAUAUACAGCAUAUAUUUUUAUGCAAGAUUAACAAGAAUAUAGCAAGGUAUAAGCAUGCAAUAUAUCAGCUUCAAACUCAAACUAAAACAUCUUGAAAUAUAAGAGAGAAAGGGAUAGAAAAGAUUGUGCAAGGAUUUUAUCCUGGUUCGUUUUGUUGUCCACUACAAAACUACAUCUAGUUCUCCCCUCUGAUCUGGGAGAUUUUCCUUCUUCACUAUAGAACACAAUGUAUCGUUACAUACACGCUUCCAAUUACAAGACUCGAACGCUUCUUUCUUGGAACCCAAAGAACUUUGUCACCCUUAGUUUGACCUUUCCCAAACCGCCUCCUCUAGUAAACCUUUCUUACUGCGAUUCGACCCCAGCCAAGGUAAUCGCUCUUUAUCCCAAGACCUCCAAGUCUUUGUGUAUAGAAUACCUUACCUAACCACAGCUAGGAUUUUCCCAAUCCUUGAAUUACAAUGCUUUGAGUUAUGAAUGAGUGCUUAGUACUCAGAUAUUACAAUAAAGAUCAAAGACUAAAACCUAAGCAAGAACUCACAAGACUUCCUAGUCUAAUAUGAAUGUACAUGCAUGAGGUUUCUGAAAUUUUGCAAUCAUAAAAAGUUAUCUCUUUUCUUUUCAAGAAACACAAGAAUGAUGCAAGAAAGCUUUUCGAAGAAACAUGCAAUAUGAAUGUGAAAACUAAAGCCUUAGCAUGUUCUAGUCUUUUUCCUAAUGCAACACUCUGUAAUAGUUUCUAACAAAGAUGAUCAAUUCUCUUUUCUCUAUGUUUUUCACUCUUGGCUCUUUCUGCAAUUAGCCAGAAUUUAUACAAAAUAAACUUUGCCUCUAAAAACGGUUUUUUCAGUUAUGUGUUGAAACAACAGAAAACAGACAUGUUAAUCGAUUAAGUUACCACUUUAAUCGAUUAACCAUUAUAACAUAAUUAAAAUAGAAAACAGUUGAGUUGAUCGAUUAAGUCACCACGUUAAUUGAUUAACCAACAUUUAAAACACGUGAUUCAAAAGGCAAACUACUCAUAUGUUAUGGUUAACUUCUAUACAUGUUUUAGCAAUUAUAUGAUGCCUAAUAUGCACAUAUAACAUGUAUGAUAUGCAUGAACAUAUAAUAAACUAGAUGAUAUCUCAUUUUAGUGGAUUGGUUACUUUAUUAAGUCUUAUGGGACUCACACCUAGGUUUACCUAACCUAGACUCAAUAUCUAUGCAAGCAUCUUAGACUUUUAAAAAGGUAAUAAACAAUUAUAACCUAAGUCUAAUAAGUCACCACUUGAGNNNNNNNNNNNNNNNNNNNNNNNNNNNNNNNNNNNNNNNNNNNNNNNNNNNNNNNNNNNNNNNNNNNNNNNNNNNNNNNNNNNNNNNNNNNNNNNNNNNNAAUCCUUGACACUUUGCACUUUCAAUCUCCCCAUUUUUGAUGAUGACAAACACCACAUCAAAUAAUACGUUAUAUUUGAUGAAUUAGCUUGACGAUGUUGUACAUUUGCAUAAUGGUUGUGAAUAUUAAAAAUUGAAUCGCUUUGCUCUUCCCCUUAGGUAAGCAAUGAUAUUAGGUAAGCAAUGAUUGAUAAACCUACAAAUAACAUCAAACACAACAAGCAACCUUUCUCCCCCUUUUGAUAUUAUCAAAACGAUACGAAUAUUCAAUUCUUGUCAAAAGUUAGAAGAGAUAUAGCAAUUUAUUUUGAAAAACUGUAAUUAUUAGCAUAAGCAAUAACCAGUUUGAGAAGCUUAAACAAAUGCAUUGAUUUCUGACUCUAAAGCUGAAUAUAGACAGAUUUUGCAUGGCAUAUCCAUUAUGUAAAUAGUUUAGACAUGGAAUGAUUAAACAUAUAUGUAGUGUUAGCACUUGUUAGCACCAAUUGUUAGCACGUGUUCGACAAUUUUCAUUUUAAAGCAUAUUUCAAUCAUUCAAUUAUAAUACACAAUUAAGACAUGUUCAAGAUUCACGCAAAAACAAAUUCUAUUUAACAUAAUUAGCAAGGUUCAACAUAGUUACAAAAUACUAAAAGAUGGUACAACCAUAACCAUGAGAUGUACUUGACUCAAAAAUAUAGACGUAAGCCACAAAACAACAAGAAUUAAAUUUCUGAAAAAAAUUGAGCCCAGGUAAUCAAUUAACACAAAAUUUAAUCGAUUAAGAUGAUUUAUUUCAGAAAGUUUUAGCUAAUGGAACUCAUUUAAUCGAUUAAUGACAGAAAGUUGACAGUUUUAAGCACAAUUUUGAGCUUACUAAGAAAUAAUUUUGUAACAUUGUUAAUAUAAUUACCUUACUUACCCUUUGGUGAUAUGUCAAGAUUACCACUUGUUUGAUGAAAAGUUUGAUGAUAUGAUCAAAGUUGUAUAUUUGACAUUCAAAGUGUAUUGCUCCCCCUUUCAUUGUUCUUCCCUUUAUCUUCUCCCCUUUAUUACUUAGAGAAGUACUCUUGGUAGGUAGCAUAAUACAGNNNNNNNNNNNNNNNNNNNNNNNNNNNNNNNNNNNNNNNNNNNNNNNNNNNNNNNNNNNNNNNNNNNNNNNNNNNNNNNNNNNNNNNNNNNNNNNNNNNNUCUUCUUAAUAGCCUUGAUCUACUCACCAACCUUGUGCCUAGAACAUCUUUUGUUGAUUUAUCCCUUGAUGCUCAAAUGUCCUUUGGCACACCUGCAAACAUAAUUUACUUGUCUCUUUCGGGUACCCAAGUUAUUUUUGGUCCCUUCUUGUUAGUAACUAAGGGAUCUUGCCCAUUCUUUACCCAAACAUAUUUGCCACUUGGCACACCAGAUUUUAUAAUAAAGCAUGUAGUGCAUGUGUGACCACGUGUCCCACAAUAGAAACAAGUAGGCAUGUUAUUAUUUGACUUCUUAUGCAUAUGAACUACUAGAUUUCUGCACGGUCUUUUCUUAGGUUCAAGUUUAUAUCCAAUUCCAGAUUGGUUACCAACGUUUCUUGUAUUAGCAAGCAAUGUGUUAAGGGUUUCUUGACUAUAUGUGAGCUUUGAAAGUUUUUGUUUCAAAACAAAAAAUUUAGCAUUUAAACUCUCACAAGUAUCACAUAUAGUGGGUUGACAUAAUUUAGAAGUAGAGCAAUCACAUGAGGCACAUGCAUAGAUAAGAUCAAGAGUUUCAUUUUCAAGUUUAAGCUCAUCUAAUUCCCUUUACAUUUCAAUUAUUUUCUUUUUAUGCAAGGAGAUAACUCUUGUGAACACUCAAUUUUGUCCGGCCUAGCUAUAAAAUUUAUAAAAAUACAAAAAAUAUUCAAAACAAUAAAAUUUAAAUAAUAUCAUUUUAUAAUGUUUCAGAACCAAGUUUAUCUUCGAAUCAUCAUCAGAAUUAUCAUCAACUUGUUAUUUAACUGGUUAAUCCUUAGACACCAUGAUGUCUUUUGGGUUGUUUCUUGCUAUUUUGUGAAAACCAAGUUAUCCCUGAACGAGUGUUCCGUUACAAAUAUUGUCAUAAACAGCGCAAAUACUAAUUACAAUCAUUGGAAAGAGUAAACGUGAAAGGAAAUACGAUGUUCAUUCUAUAAGGAAAAUCAUUAACACUUGUUGGAAAGUUAUCUGUGUUACCAGUCUCUAAAAGUACAAAAAAUAAGAACAAAAUUGUUUUCCAAUAAGGAUAAUAAGGUAGUAAAGCACAUUCAAAUAAAAGGGGUAUUCCAACACUUCCAGGUCCCAACUCAUCACCGCUUCACACCAUAUCCUAUUAUCCUCAAUCUCUUCUGUCCAUUCCUCACAUAACAUUCCCAAAACAAAAAAAACAAAAAAGCAAACCCCCGAGCAACCUUGAACACGUAUACAACUGAAACAAACUUGUUACGCCAUUUUUUUCAUUAUUUGGCUCGCUUGGGAUACCCUGUACUUCAAAUAUGUGGCUUUGAAAAUUCAGAAGAGUGCUCAGCAUCAACACUAGCCAAUCCAAUAAAAGCCAAACCAAGCCAGCUAAAGUAAGCCCCACUUUCUGUGCAUAAAAAGAUAUUCGCCUAGACAACUCAUUGUGGUGGCUAGGAGCCACUAACCAUAGUAAUCCUUUUCCACCUACAAAUAAUAUAGCAUCCAUGUUAGCAAUCAGAGACAACAAAGAGAGCUGCCACACAUCAAUCAGAUACACAACUCACAUCUACUAUCUAUAACACAUCACAUAACACACUAAAUACAUUCCAUCAGACCACACAACAGUCAGAGAGUGCAUAUACUUAUACAAACGCAGAAUACACACAUAAAUCAGAAACAAAGAAAAGCAAUACAUUGAAAAGAGAGAUAUUUGGGAGUGAGAAAUGGUCGUGAUAUCAACAGCUAGAGAAAAGAGGAUUAGCAACAAGUAAAGGCAGUGACAGCAAGAGAUAUUUGGUUACACAAAAAAAUAUAUAUGCCUUUACUGGAUGGGAACGUAAGGCAGUUUUAAAAUAAUCUUGAUUUGGCUCCUGAAUGAAUUGGUAUCCAAAUCCACUUUCAUAUGCAAAAUACACACACAAUAUAUCUAAACACAGAUAUAAAGCAAUUAAACAAACCAGCAAAUAGCCAAUUUCAGUUAUAAACCAGCCAUAAAGACCAAGGGCAACUCAGAAAUCAUAGGCCCUUCAGUUACAGAUCAGCCAUCAUUGACAGCAUUCAUAGGCAGUUAAAGUAUUGAAAUCAGAAAGCAAAGGUCAUGGGAUUUCAAAAAGGGCAGUUUCAGUCAGUAACUCAAAAGGUUUUUGCACUGACUCAUACUCAGCUAUAAAUAGCAGUUCCAUUCAUCACCAGGGGAUAACAUCACAAAACACAGACACUCGGUAAAAACACAGAAAAAGAAAUCAGAACAUUGCAACUGAAAAAGAGAGAACAAUCAGAAAAAGUUAGGAGUGAGCAGAGCACAUAUGCACGCCAUAUAACAUCCGGAGAUCCAUCCUUAAACAUACUUAGAUCAAAUCAAGAAUACGCAACACAUUUGAGCAGGCAAAAAUCAUACAACACAGCCAUAACACAAAUUCAAGAAGAGGUACACUCUUACUCGAUCCAUCAAGAAAGAAAAGACGACAGACAAAGGAUCCCAAAAGCGAAAAAGAGGUACGUUCUCAGGUAUGCCAUUUAUUUUAGUCUAAAAGUUUCAAACAAAAUGAAACAACAUUAUAUCCUAAUCAUCAAGGUCGAUGUAAAUCCAAACAGCUAUAAACAAAUGCAUCUCUACUCAAUUUAUAUGAAGCAUGUAUGAUUUAUCACAUUCACGAACAUAGUGUUAAUCGCUAAACCACUAAAAGGGAUUAAACUCUCUUAAUCUUCAGUAUCCAUAGUGAAUAAAAUGAAAGAGAAUAAGAAGAGAGUUACUUCUAGGUAGCACAGUGAUCUUAGACCAAAAGAAUGCAAUUCACUUCCAGAGUAACUUCAACCCAUAUACAUUUUCGACAUGCUUGUCAUCCAAUCAAAAUAGAAUGCGAUGAAAGUUAAGCAAAUACAAGAGAUUUGGUUUCUUACCAAUUUCCCUCGGAUAUAUCGAUCCCGUGAUUAAGGGACAAAUUCCAAAACCGGAUCAAGUGCGUGACGUGGUGCAAGAACCACUUUCAAUGGCAUCAUGUGUCCUCCUGAACAGAAAGUACUUUGUGCCUUGGUCAUCGAUAACGUGGAGAAGACGUUCUGCAUCACCAUGGCCUUCAUCUUCACAAAUCAGAGUUGCAUCGCCCUUGGGUCGAGAACCAGCACGAACCAAUACUGAGAAGGAUUUCAAAGACGGGGCGUCGGUCUCAGAAUCGUGUCGUCACCAAGACGUUUGGCCAGCUUGACUUCGGUCAUUAAUUCUUAAUCCCUGCCUCCGUAAGAGUAGAAUGAAGAGGAAGAUGGAGGAAGGAUGAAAUUAGGGAUUUUGGAUCCCAUUUGGGUUUGGCCAGAGAAGAACCCGUAUACCCUAUUCUUCUCACCUAAUCCCCAUUUCCUUUUUUUAUUUGUUUUUUCCAUUUAUUCUAUUUCUAUUUUUUCCCAUGUAUUUAUAUCUUUUAUUACCUACGUAACUAUAUCAUAUAAUCCUUGGCUAGUGAUAAAGGCCCAUUAGUUAAGUUGCUAUUUCCUAAAUUAUUAAAGGAAUGAAUACGUAUCUUCAUAAAUUCUUUCAGGCUAUAUUCUUUGCGUAUAUUUUACUAAAUGAAUUUAAUGAAAUUUUAUAUAGUAAGGUUACGGUUCGAGUUGUCUCUAACUUCUCUGAAAACGAGAAGAAGGUUUACAACCAAUACCGUCUCUAAACUAUCAAUCCCAUAUAUAUAUAUAUAAUUAUCAAACUAUUUUAUAACUAAAAUUCUAUAUGUAAGAAUAAUUAGAAAUUAUAUUAUCAAAUUAAUUAAGGAAUUCUUAUAGUAAGGUUAUGGUUCGAGUUGUCUCUAACUUCUCCGAAAAUGAGAAGAAGGUCUACAACCAACACCUCCUCUAAACUAUUAAUUCUAUAUAAAUAAUCAAAAACUAUUUUACCAAACAAGUUUUAUGAGACUUUUAUAGUGAGGUCAUGGUUCGAGCCGUCUCUAACUCCCAUAGAAAUGAGGAGAAGGUCUACGACCAACACUGUUUCUAAUCUAUUAGUCAUACUGAAUCAAAACAUUUAUAUAUUAACCAAAUUCAAUAAAUUAAUCGAUAUUUUCUAAAGCAUUAACAAUUAACUAAACAAUUUUCGCACUAGAACUACGUAAGCCUUGAUACCCUUAAUAGGGGCACGUAGGACCAAAGUCAAUAUUGUCAUGCUCAAUAAUAAAAUAAAUAAUUUUAAAUGAAUAAUUUUUAAGGGUAUAAAAGUCCAUGUUAUUAGCGAGGGUACCGUUUUAAUACGGGCGGACGGGGUGCUAAUACCUUCCCCGAUCCGUAAUCGACUCCCGAGCUCAGAAUCUCUAUCUAAAGACCAAUUUAUCCAAAUCGGGCAUAAAGAGUGUUUUCUACGUUUUAACCGCAAAAAACGUAGUGGCGACUCCAAAUCAAUUGGGAGAGGUAGAAAUCGAGUUCGCCUCCUCCCAAGUCGUAGAGCCGGUCUUCCAACCGAAAGUCGGGUCACUCUUUUUCUAUCUAUAUUUAUUUUAACAAUUUUCUUUAAUUCUUCAUGCAUUUCGACAUAAGCUGCAUAUAAUUCAUCGUAUGGAGGAUAGUCAUUAGAGCAUGAUGAAGUAUAGGAAUGUGCCUCAAUAGAAUCAUCUUCAUCACUAGAUGUGCACUUCUCAUGCACUUGUGCCAUAAGGCAUACCUUUGAAUUUUCCACCUCAUCGGAUGAGCUUGAAGUCGAAUCUUUCUCGGAAUCAUCCCAAACAAUGUAUGCUCCUUUUGACUUGGACAUUCGAGAGUUGCUUUUCUUGUUACCGACUUUCUUGAGGUAGCUAGGGCAUUGAUGCUUCAUGUGGCCCAAUUUUCCACACUCAUAGCAAGUGAAGCCUUCUUUGGGAAUCUUGCUUUUCUUGGUUGAGUUCUUGGCUUCUUUCUUUAGAUUCUUGAUCACUUCUUUCUUCUUGAGAUACUUCUUGAAUUAUUCAAAUAGGAGAGUCAAGUCUUCAUCGGAAUCAGAAUCUGAACUGGAAUCCUCACUUUCUUGAUCUUCUUGAAAUCUUGUAGCCUUGAGUGUAAUUUCGUUCUUGUCUGACUCUUCAUUCAUUGUCAAGCGCCCUAACUCCAUUUCAUGUUCUUGGAGUUUCCCAAACAGAGUAGCUAAUGGCAUGUUAUCUAAGUUCUUUGAGUCCAUUAUCACGGUUACCUUUGGUUGCCAUUUCCUAUCAAGACAAUGCAAAACUUUGUUAGACCAAUCAGCAUUAGUAAAAGUUUUAUCAAAGGCGACCAAAUGAUUUACAACAUGAGUAAAACGUUUUUACAUAUUACAUAUAGAUUCAUUAGGAAGCAUGCGAAAUAAAUCGUACUCAUGCGUAUGCGCAUUUAGUCUAGCGCGCUUAACUUUACUCGUGCCUUCGUGGGUAACUUGCAAAGUAUCCUACAUUUCUUUUGCAUUAAGGCACUGCGAGACUCUAAAGAAUUCGUCAUAAGAUAAGGCCAAAGUAAAGCCUUAAGGUCAUGUUGGACCUUUCUUUUCUCAAUAGCCGUCCAUAAGCGUUUAGGCUUUUCUUUGGGCUCGCCAUCCACCAUAUGAAGUGGAAGGUAUGGACCAUUGACAACGGAAUCUCAAAUGUCCGUGUCAAUUUCCUCGGUAUAAAUUCUCACUUGAACCUUCCAAUAGGCAUAGCCAUCGCCACUGAAUAUGGGAGGGUGGUUAAUGGAUGAGUCAUCACCAUCAAAGGGGUUGGUGGAACCCAUUUAAAUUCCCUUCGGAUCACGUGGAUGCGGUUGAGCUAGCACGUCGUCCUAGCUCUAAGACCACUUGUUAGGUAUCAGUGGCAGAAUACACCUAGAACGGGGGUUGAAUAGGUGUGGCGGAGCUCAAGUUCCACUUUUUGGGUUUUUACACACUUGCUGAAAAAUGCCCAGUUAAUUGAUGAAGCACUAUUCAUAAUUGAUUAACCAGUAACAGAACCAGAAUGAUCAGAACAGCAACUUGCACAAUUAUUAACCAUACAAGCAAAUAUACAGCAGAUAUUUUUAUGCAAGAUUAACAAGGAUAUAGCAAGGUAUAAGCAUGCAAAAUACCAGCUUCAAACUCGAACUAAAACAUCUUGAAAUAUAAAAGAGAAAGGGAUAGAAAAUAUUUCUUAAGGAUUUUAUCCUGGUUCGUUUUGUUGUCCACUGCAAAACUCCAUCCAGUACUCCCCUCCGAUCUGGGAGAUUUUCCUUCUUCACUAUAGAACACAAUGUAUCGUUACAUACACGCUUCCAAUUACAAGACUCGGACGUUCCUUUCUUGGAACCCAAAGAACUUCGUCACCCUUAGUUUGACAUUUUCCAAACCCGCCUCCUCAAGAAAACCUUUCUUACCGUGAUUCGACCCCAACUAAGGUAAUCGCUCUUUAUCCCAAGACCUCCAAGUUUUUUUGUAUAGAACACCUUACCUAACUGCAGCUAGGAUUUUCCCAAUCCUUGAAUUACAAUGCUUUGAGUUAUGAAUGAGUGCUUAAUACUCGGAUAUUACAAUAAAGAUCAAAGACUAAAACCUAAGCAAGAACUCACAAGACUUCCUAGUCUAAUAUGAAUGUACAUGCAUGAGGUUUCUGAAAUUUUGCAAUCAUAAAAAAACUAUCUCUUUUCUUUUCAAGAAACACAAGAGUGAUGCAAGAAAGCUUUUCAAAGGAACAUGUAAUAUGAAUGUGAAACUUAAAGCCUUAUCAUGAUCUAAUCUUUCUUCUAAUUCGACACUCUCUAAUAGUUUCUAACAAUGAUGAUCAAUUCUCUUUUCUCUAUGUUUUUCACUCUUGGCCAUUUCUGCAAUUAGCCAGAAUUUAUACAAAAUAGAUUUUGCCUCUAAAAACGGUUUUUACAGUUAUGCAGUUGAAAUAAUAGAAAACAGACAUGUUAAUCGAUUAAGUUACCAUGUUAAUCGAUUAACCAUUAUAACAUGAUUAAAACAGAAAACAGUUGAGUUGAUCGAUUAAGUCACCAUGUUAAUCGAUUAACCUACAUUUAAAACACGUGAUUCAAAAGGCAAACUACUCAUAUGUUAUGCUUAACUUCUAUACAUGUUUUAGCAAUUAUAUGAUGCUUAAUAUGCACAUAUAACAUGUAUGAUAUGCAUGAACAUAUAAUAAACUAGAUGAUAUCUCAUUUUAGUGGAUUGGUUACUUUAUUAAGUCUUGUGAGACUCACACCUAGGUUUACCUAACCUAGACUCAAUAUCUAUGGCAAGCAUCUUAGACUUCUACAAAGAUAAUAAAGAAUUAUAACCUAAGUCUAAUAAGUCACCACUUGAGCCCUCGGCAUGUUGAUUGUUGAGACAUUGUCAAGCUUUAACUAACUCAUUUUCUUCAUCAAAACAUAGGCAAAACAUUGCUAGUGCAAUCCUUGACACUUUGCACUUUCAUGGUUCUCGAAUGCAAAACGGGAUUCUUUGAAAGGUUGAUGGCACUCGUACUAUCUCACUUAAUGGGGAUCUUUUCUAGUUUAAGCCCAAAGUUCUUAAGUUGCUGCUUCAUCCAAAGGAUUUGAGCGCAACACACGCCAGCGGCGAUAUAUUCCGCUUAUGUGAUGGACAAAGGAACGCAUGCUUGCUUUUUGUUGUGCCAUGCCACUAAGUAACUGCCUAAUAAAUGACAAGUCCCACUAGUGCUCUUCCAAUCUAACUUACACCUAGCGAAGUCGGAAGCAGAGUAACCUACCAAGGAUAUUGAGGCAUCCCUAGGAUACCAUAAUCCCAUAUUUAUUGUUCCUUUUAAAUAUCUCAUGAUGCAUUUAACAGCACUAUAAUGUGAAUCUUUAGGCAAAGCUUGGAAACUAGCACACAUACAAACACUGAACAUAAUAUCGGGGCGGCUUGCAGUCAAAUAUAAUAAUGAGCCGAUAAUCCCACGAUAUUUCGUUACCUCUUUAGCUUUUCCCUUUUCAUCUUUAUCUAGAUAACAUGAGGACGUCAUAGGAGUAUAUCCAUCUUUACAUUGCUCCAUAUCAAAUUUCUGUAGUAAUUCCUUGCAAUAUUUCGAUUGAUGAAUGAAGAUGUCACUUUCCAUUCCUUGCAACUAAGUGAGCUUUAUUUCUAAUUAUCAAGCCAGAUUCAUCUAGAUUGUUACGAAAGACCCAUCUCGUACCAAUCACUAGAUGUUCUUUUGGUUUAGGGACCAAGUCCUAGACAUUAUUACGCUCAAACUAGUUUAGCUCCUCUUGCAUAGCUAUACCCUAGUGUACAUCCUCGAUGGCUUUAUCGAUGGUCUUUGGCUCGAUUUGAGACACAAAUGCAACGAAGUUACAGAAAUUGCAUAAAGAACUAUGGGUUACCACCCCCGUAGAUAUGUUACCUAUCACCUUGUCUAGUGGAUAAUCCUUUUUGGUCUUCUACACAAUCGGCAUGUCCUGAUGCUCAUCUUGAACUAUUUGUUCUGCUUCUCUUCUUUGUUUUGGUCCAUCUCCCUUAAAUAUGCCUCUUCUAGCACACUUGAAACAUCUUCAGGAAAGACCUUUCUCUUCUCUUUUGGAGAAGAUUCGUCAAAAUGAACAUGUAUAGAUUCUUCUACUUGCAUGGAAUACUUAUUAAACACACGGAAAGCCUUACUAUGUAAUGAAUACCCUAGGAAUAUGCCUUCAUCAACCUUCGAGUCAAAUUUUCCCAAAAUUCUUUUUCCAUUAUUCAAGAUAAAAUAUUUGCACGCGAAUGCAUGAAGAUGUGAAAUAUUCGGUUUUCGACCUUUUAAAAUCUCAUAUGAAGUUUCUGAAAAAUUAGGUCUAAGAAGUAUACGACUCAUCACAUAACAGGCAGUGUGUACUGCAUCAGCCCAGAAAUAUUUGGGAACCUUGCUCUGGUCUAGCAUGGUUCUUGCGAGCUACUCUAGGACUCGAUUUUUCCUCUCAACAACUCCAUUUUGUUGAGGGGUACGGGGAGCCGAGAACUAGUGCAUGAUGUCAUGCUUAUUACAAAAUUUAUUAAACUUAUGGUUUUCAAAUUCUCCGCCAUGGUCGGAUCGUAUGUAAACAAUUUCAAGGUUAUUCUGGUUUUGAAUUUGUUUGGCUAGACAUUUAAAAUAUUUAUAUGCAUCGCUCUUAGACGUUAAAAAUAGGGUCCAUGUGAAUCUAGAAAAAUCGUCAACAAUUUCCAAAGCAUAAAAACUUCCACCAAAACUCAUGAUCUGCGAUGGUCCAAACAAGUUGAUAUGGAGAAGCUCUGAAGGUCUAGUAGUGGAUAUCACAUUCUUUUUACCAAAAGAAUUUUUAACUUGUUUACAUUUUUGACAUAUGUCACAAGAAUCCUGAGUUUUAAAAUCAAGUUUUGGCAGACCUAAGACCAAAUUAUUUUUAGAUAAUUUUUCUAGAUGCUUCACAUGAAUGUGACCGACUCGUCUAUGCCAAAGCCAGAUGUCAUCUUCUUUUGAAAUAAAAAAAACAUUUUGAGAAAAGAGAAGUGACAUCCUCCAGGUCAACCAUAUAUAUAUUAACACGAUAGCCGACAAACUUUACAUUAUUAGAUAAAACGUCACAGAUUAUACAACAUUCAGAAUCCAAUGACACACGAUUACCUUUGUCGCAGAGUUGGCUAAUACUCAAAAGAUUAUGUUCCAGACCUUCUACGUGUAGAACAUUCUCGAUUACAGCAUGAGUUGAAUUGCCAAUUUUUCCGGUGCCUAGGAUCUUCCCUUUGUUAUUAUCUCCGUAUGUAACAAAACCUUUUUCCUUCAAUGAUAGGUCUAAGAAUUUUGACCUAUCUCCUGUCAUAUGUCUCGAACACCCGUUGUCAAGAUACCAAUGUUAUCCACGUGUUCGUAGACAUACCUGCAAAAUAGAUCGCUUGCUAGUGUUAGGUACCCAAAUUAUAUUGGAUCCUUUUCUGUUAGUAACCAGGGAGUUAUCUCCCUUUUUCAUCCAAACGUAAACACCACUCAGUAUCCCAUAUUCCCUGAUGUAACAUGGGUAAGAGGUGUGGCCAUGUGUGCCACAAUAGAUACAUGUAGGAACUCUAUUUUAUUAUAAGACUUUUUAUUAGUACGAGUUACAGGUUUCCAAUAUGGUCUAUUUCUACGUAAUGGGGGGAUAUACCCUAAUCCAGUAUUGUCACCAACAUUUCUUGUUUUACUUAGCAAGGUAUUUAAUUGGUUUUGACUCUCUGUAAGUUUUGCGAGUUUUUCAUUAAGUUUAAAAUUCUCAUUUAUCAAGUCCUCGCAAGACUCACACACAGUUGUUUGACAUAAUUUAUCGUUAGAGUAGUCGCAUGAAUUACAUGAAAAAAUUAUAUCUAAUGUUUCAUUUUCAAGUUUCAGUUCAUCUAAUUCUUUCUGUAGUUGUAAUAUUUUGUGAUCAUUUAGCAGACUUACCCGUUUUCUAUUGGCACUAAUCCUAGCUAAUUUCAUUAGUUCUUCAUGUAUUUCGACAUAUGCAUCAUAUAAAACCUCAUACGAAGGAGAAUCAUCAGAAGAGGAUGAGGUAUUAGAAUAUACCUCAUUAUUAGCAUCCUUUGUACUACCUAAUCCGCAAGCCUCAUAUGUUCUAGUCAUUAAGUAUAGCUUGGCGGUCUCCUCUUCAUCUGAGGUUCUUGAUGUUGUCUCCUCCUCCGGUAUAUCCCAGACAAUAUAAGCUUUCUUCGAUUUGAAGUCAUGGGGAGUGCUCUUUUCUGAAUCAACCUUCUUUAGGUAAGUGGGACAUUGAAAUUUCAUGUGUCUUGGCUUACCACAUUCAUGGCAAGUGAAGCGCUCUUUAUUCUUGCCUUUUCUUAUUGAUUCGCGCGCCUCUUUCUUUUGUAAACGUUUGAAACCUCCUUUCUUCUUCAACAAUUUCCCAAACUUUCGUACGAGAAGGUUUAACGUUUAUUCGUCAAUGUUAGAGUCAGAGUCAGAGUCAUCAUUACCUAUCUCUUCUGUAGGUUGUGAUGUUGUUGCUUUAAGAGAUAUGCCUUUCUUUUUACGAUCUGACUCUUCAUGCAUGGUCAGACGUCCAAGCUCCAUCUCGUGCUCUUGAAAUUUUCUGAACAAUGACGCCAAAAGCAUAGAAUCAAGGUCCUUAGAUUCCAUGAUCGCCAUUACUUUAGGUUGCCAUCUCCUGUCAAGACAGCGUAAAACUUUGUUAAUAAGUUCUCAUUUGGUAAAAAAUUUAUCAAGGGCAACAAGAUGAUUUACAAUAUGAGUGAAUCGUUUUUGCAUAUCGCUACUAGAUUCACUUGGUAACAUACCAAAUAAUUCAUAUUCAUGUGUCAGGGCAUUCAGCCUGGCACUCUUGACCUCGCUAGUGCCCUCGUGAGUCACUUGUAAAGUGUCCCACAUCUCCUUGGCACUUUGACACUGAGAUACCCGGAAGAAUUUGUCAUACGAUAGGGCCAAUGUAAUUAUGUUCUUAGCGCGUAGGUUGUACUGAACCUUUUUGCGCUCCUCAUCGUCCACAAACUCUUAGGUUUUUCAUUCGGUUCAUCAUCCACUAAGUGUAGUGGGACGCUGGGCCAGUUGAUUACGGAUUCCCAAAUAUCCGAAUCAAUGGCCUCCAUAAAUAUCUUCAUCCAAACUUUCCAGUAGGCGUAUCCCUCGCCACUGAAUACGGGAGGGCGGUUAAUGGAUGUGUCAUCACUGCCAAAGAGGUUGGUGGAACCCAUUUAAUUCCCUUAGGAUUAUGCGUAUGCGGUUGAGCUAGCACAUCAUACUAGCUCUGAUACCACUUGUCAGGUAUCAGUGGUCUAGACACACCUAGAAGGGGGGUUGAAUAGGUGUAGCGGUUAUCAAUUACCAUUUUUCGCACCAAAACCCAGUUCUGGAAAAUAACCCAGGUAAUCGAUUAACCAAUGGGCUUAAUCGAUUAACACGUAUCAGAAAUAGAAUGGCAAAUUGGCUUCUUGCACAUUUAUUUAUCAACAAACAAGCAGAGAUACAACAGAUAUUUUUGUGCACAAUUAACAAGGAUAUGGUAAAGUAGCAGUAUGCAAAAUAUCAGCUUAAUACACGAAUUAAAACAGCUUGAAUUAUAAAAGAGAUUGAGAUAGAACAGCUUGCACAAUAGAAUUUUUAUCCUGGUUUGUUUGCGGGUCCACUUACAAACUACAUCCAGACCUCCUCUUCUAAUCUUGGGAGAUUUCUCUUCACUAUAUUGAAACCUUUGUAUUGUUACAUACACCAAUUCAAUUAGAAGACUCUCGACGCUUCUUUCUUGAAUUUCAAGAACCUCUAACCUUGGUUUGACUAUCCCUAUCACCCAAGAAAACCUUUCUCACGAUCCAGCCCCAGACAAGAUUCUCGCUCUAAAUUCAAGACCUCCAAGCCUUGGUGAAGAUUCACUCAAUCUCAAUGGUGGUAAGACACCAAGAGACAAAACCCAAAGUACAAAACAGUAUACAAAACCAGAGUUUUAGUAAGCACCAAUAUGCUCAAAUUACAACAAUGAAAGCUCAAAGAUUAACCCACACUCAAGUAACACAAACCAUCAUGAAUGUAUGCGAGUUAAUAAAAAAUAGAUGAUGCAGAAUCUUUCUCUUAAAAUCUCUAAUAAUAAUGCAUGAUACACGAGAAGCUUAACUUAAUUUUGUCUGUUAUCAUUAUGAAUUGGGACUUUUGGCCCUAAAAAUGUGUUCAUGCUUGAAUGUUAUGAGGAUAUCAUUGCACUUUGAUAUCCUUGUACCACAAGGACAACUUAAUUUUCGUUCCCUUCGAUGAGCUCAAUGCCCUAGGGAUAAUUUUCAUUCCCUUCGAUAGGCUCAACGCAUUAGGGGUAUUUCUCACUUCCCUUCAAUUGGCUCAACACCCUAAGGAUAAUUCUCAUUUCCCUUCGAUAUGUUAGGUAUCAGUGGUCUAGACACACUUAGAGGGGGGUUGAAUAGGUGUAGCGGUUAUCAAUUACCGCUUUUCGCACCAACACCCAAUUCUGGAAAAUAGCCCGGGUAAUCGAUUAACCAGUGGGCUUAAUUGAUUAACAUGUAUCAGUAUGCAAAAUAUAUUUACCAAUUUAGAAUGGAAGAUUGGCUUCUUGCACAGUUAUUUACCAACAAACAAGCAGAGAUACAACAUAUAUUUUUAUGCACAAUUAACAAAACUAUGGCAAAGUAGCAGUAUGCAAAAUAUCAGCUUAAUACAUAAAUUAAAAUUGCUUGAAUUAUAAAAGAGAUUGAGAGAGAACAACUUGCACAAUAGAAUUUUUAUCCUGGUUCGUUUGUGGGUCCAUUUGCAAACUACAUCCAGAUCUCCCCUUCUGAUCUUGGGAGAUUUCUCUUCACUAUUUUGAAACCUUUGUAUUGUUACAUACACCAAUUCAAUUACAAGACUCUAGAUGCUUCUUUCUUGAAUUUCAAGAACCUCUAACCUUGGUUUGACUAUCCCUAUCGCCCAAGAAAACCUUUCUCGUGAUCCAGCCCUAGCCAAGAUUCUCGCUCUAAAUUCAAGACCUCCAAGCCUUGGUGAAGAUUCACUCAAUCUCAAUGGUGGUAAGACACCAAGAGUCAAAACCCAAAGUACAAGACAGUAUACAAAAGUAGAGUUUUACUAAGCACUAAUAUGUUCAAAUUACAACAAUGAAAACUCAAAGAUUAACCCACACUCAAGUAACACAAGCCAUCAUGAAUGCAUGCGACUUAAUACAAAAUAGAUAAUGCAUAAUAUUUCUCUUAAAAUCUCUAAUCAUAAUGCACGAACAUGCAAGAAAGAAUGAAUGAGAUUAAGCACAUGAAAACUACAUGCAAUACAUCAUGAACAAUAUCAACUAAACAUGUUAAUCUCUCUUUCUCACACAUGCAUCUCUCUUCUGCCUAUACAACCCCAAUCACUCUACUAGUCCUCACGAUCGAGAGGAAAUAAAUGACAUAGAGAAAAGAGUCAGAGCUAUGGAAGAAGCCAAUUCAUAUGGUUUGAAGGAUGUCACCGACAUAUGUUUAGUCUCGGGUAUGGUUGUGCCACCAAAGUUCAAAGUGCCAACGUUUGACAAAUAUCAAGGAACUUCUUACCCUAAACACCACCUGACUAUGUAUGCUAGGAAGAUGACUCGUUAUAUCAGAGAUGACAAGUUGUUGAUCCAUUUAUUUCAAGAAAGCCUAACUAGAGUUGCCACCACUUGGUACUUGUCACUUGGACGUUCACAAAUUCAAUGUAUCAAGGAUUUAUGUGAUGCCUUUGUCAAGCAAUAUGAUUACAACAUUGAUAUAGCUCUUGAUAGGACACAAAUCAAAAAUAUGAUCAAGAAAUAUGAUGAAACUUUCAGUGAAUAUGUCCAAAGGUGGGCAGAAGUGGUCGUGCAGGUUAAGCCCAUGAUAUCUGAUGAAGAUAGUGUUUCAAUGUUCAUUGACACUCUCCAACCACCAUUCUAUAAUACGAUGUUGGGAUGUGUAUCUUCGGGAUUCCGUCAACUGAUGACCAUAGGGGAAAAGAUAGAAAGUCGUCUGAGAAGUGACAGAGGCGUGAAAGAUCCAACUCAACACAUAACUCGAGAUGAAAUUACAAGUGAAUGGAUGGAAGGUGAUGAAUCAUUCAUCGAAACCUUCAACCAACCUCAACGACAUCAUCAUCCCCAACAAAAUUAUCCUUUUACUCACAAUCAAGGAGGACCAUCUCUAAGACGAAAGAGAAAAAGUUUGUAUGAUGUGAUCCCCAUGUCUUACUCUGAGUUGUUGCCACAACUUGUUAAGAAGGAUUUAUUAACUAUCCUUCCCUUUAAGGAGGUUAUGCCUCCAUAUCCAAAGGGCUUCAACCCAAAUGCUCAUUGUAUGUAUCAUGGAGGGACAAUAGGACAUCCGACAGAUGGUUGCAAUCAAUUAAAGGGCAAGGUACGAGACUUGAUUCAUGAAGGGCAGGUCAAGUUUCAAGGAGAUAUUUUGAUUUAAGGAAGACAUGAAACAUACUUCAUUCAUGAGGAACUCUUCCCAACCAAGUGUUAUUUCUCUAGAACUAUAUUGUAAUACACCCUUAUGGCUUCACCCAGGGCUUUAGGGUUACAAAAUAAAGGGUUUCAUGUUUCCUUCUUAAGAAUAAGAAGGUUAUUUUUCAGUGCAUGUCUUUUUAACAAGUAUAUACUAGUGCACUAAUCUUGCAAAUUUAUCAUCUCAUAAUCCAUCCCACGAAUCAUAAUCAUGAAAAAAACAACAAAAAAUAAAUUCAUGCAUUAAACUGAGAUAUAAGAUUUAAAUAAAUUUGGAGGAUGAUGCAAAUGUAAGACCAAUGUGGUGUGGAUCCUUAGGCGGAUUUUUCCAAUGACACAAGGCUUCUUUGGUAAUUCUCAAACACUAAGAAGAUAUCCUUAGUCACUCAUUUGAGCCAUAGACAUUAUGAAAGGAGAUCUCUUUUGAUUAACCCAUAAAACAUAGAUAGCAUGGGGAGGGUAGCUUUUCUUCAGUUUUCCAUGACAUUCAGUUAUUAGGAAAUAAAUAAACUUUACAUACAUCGUUCACAAUAUCUUACCCGAAGGAUAAAAAAAGGUCAAAAUCCAAGUCAUGCAAAAAAUUUCAUUUGGUCAAAGUGCAAACUGAAUUAUAGAAAAUAAAAGCCCGCUGAGAAUCUUCAAUAUCUCAAGCAAAAGUUAGGGCAAACGAAACCACUAUAAAAGACCUACAGAAGAAAUAUUCACAUCUAUCGGGUAAGGUUAUGAUGUUGACCUAUCACAUUAUAAAAACCAGUAGAAUCCUAGUAAUUGAAUGUCAUGUCAGAAAACUAUUGAAAAUAGGACAAAUGAGAUAGGAGAAAGGAGAAGUGGGUAUGGGAAACACAUAUUUGAUUGAGCCUUAUAUAUUUUCUUGGAAACCCAUAGCCAUGAUACAAGCUUAAAAAGACCUUAUUUAGGAUUGAUUUGUCUAAGAUGCACACCAUGGCAAUGAAACGCUGACUCCGCUAAACUGAAAUUUUGAUAAAAAUAUAUAUAUCAUAUUUAAUGCAUGAAAUACAUUCUCUCUUAAAGAUCACCACAUCUAUACUCAAACCCCAAACACAACUUCAAUUCCAUAUUCACUUCUCUCAUCACCACUUAUAGCCCAAACGCUAACCAAGUUUGCAUGAUCACUGCUUUUAGUAUUUCUUUUUAAAGAGUUGUGCAUGAAAUAAAGAUCACUGAGUGAAAGGAGAAGGAACCACCUAAACUAUGGCAGUUUUUAGGAUGAUUCUUGUGGAAGUUAUCUCAAAUUAAAGUCUAUCAAGAUAAAUUGAAUAGAAGGAUAACCCCCACUAUCUCAUAUUAGGGCAGUUUUUUGGGCGAGUCCCAUUUUUCUAGAAUCAAAAUUUUCAGGAAGCCCAAAACUGGGGCAAUUUUACACAAGGGUGUGAAAAAGAAAAAAAACAGAGAAUUCCUGGCAGAUACCUACAUUAGGUAUUCUUGGCAAAAAUUAGGGAAAGUUAAAGGAACACCCUUAUGCAAAUGUCCAUUAUAGUUUAAGCAAAUUGGGUCAAUCAAAUUAUUUCCUCCGAAGGAAAACAAGCAAUCAGACUUCCAUCUCUCGAGGAUGAAUUUCCCCAUUAUAGUUUAAGCAAAUUGGGUCAAUCAAAUUAUUUCCUCUGAAGGAAAACAAGCAAUCACACUUCCAUCUCUCGAGGAUGAAUUUCCAAACAACUUAUACUGGGGCAUACAAUUGGGAUAAAUUGUUCUUCUCAACUCAACACUGGGACAACUAGCCAUCAACAGAUCAUCCCAGUCAGCAGUAGUUAAAAAACAGGUUCACAUUUCAGUCAAGCUCAACAAAAUGAGACAAAUUUAUAUAUCAAAGACAAUUCAUGAGCAUACUAGAACAUUGGUGCGCGAUUUCUAUCUCUCAUUUCAUUUCAUUCACAACUCAUGCAAGACAUCAUGACAAACAUCACACAUAACAUACUCUCAAACACUCACUCACUACUUUACAUUAAUCAAAUUCAAACUUUUCGGGUCCUAUACCUCGACGUGAAUUUUAAGCUUUUUGGGUCAUGUACCUCGAUGAGCAUUCAAACUUAAGCUUUUCGGGUCAUGUACCUCGACGAGCAACUUAAACUUUCCGGAUCCUGUACCUCGAUGUGAAAAUUUAAGACUUUUCGGGUCCUACACCUCGAUGUGAAAUUUAAACUACUUGGGUCCUAUACCUCGAUGUCUAAUUCAAACUUUCCAGGUCAUAUACCUCGAUGUGUAAUUCAAACUUUCCGGGUCAUGUACCUCGAUGUGAAUUUUAAGCUUUUCGGGUCCAAUACCUCGAUGAGAAUUCAAAAUCAAGAUGUUCAGUUCAUGUACCUCGAUGUGUAAUUUAAACUUGCCAGGUCUUUACCUCAACGUGAAUUUUAAGCUUUUCGGGUCAUGUACCUCGAUGUGAAAAUUUAAACUUUCUGGGUCUUGUACCUCGAUGUGUAUUUCAAACUUUUCGGGUCCUGUACCUCGACAUGAAUUUUAAGCUUUUCGGGUCCUGUACCUCGAUGAGCAUUCAAAAUCAAGCUUUCUAGAUCCUAUACCUCGAUGUGUAAUUUAAACUUUUCAGGUCCUGUACCUCGACGUGAAUUUUAAGCUUUCCAGGUCCUGUACCUCGAUGAGCAUUCAAAAUCAAGCUUUACGGGUCUUGUACCUCGAUGUGAAAAUUUAAAACUUUAUGUGUCAUGUACCUCGAUGUGUAAUUCAAACUUUCCGAGUCCUAUACCUCGACGUGAAUUUUAUGCUUUGCGAGUCCUGUACCUCGAUGAGCAUUCAAAACCAAGCUUUCUAGGUCAUGUACCUCAAAGUGUAAUCUAAGAUUUUCGGGUCCUGUAUGUCUACGUGCAAUCUAAGCUUUCCGGGUCCUAUACCUCGACAUGAAAUAUAUGAUUUCCGGGUCCUGUACCUCAAUGUGAAAAUUUAAAAUUUCCGGAUCCUGUACCUCGAGAUGUAAUUCAAACUUUCCGGGUCCUGUACCUCGACGUGGAUUUUAUGCUUUUCGGGUCCUGUACCUCGAUGAGCAUUCAAAACAAAGCUUUUCGGGUCCUAUACCUCGAAGUCUACCUUUCCAAAUGCACCAACAUGCAUCUUUGAUUUCACCUUUUCAACCCAAAUUUUGGCAGUACACCAACCUGUGUCUUUGGUUUUAACUUGUCAUUCCAAGUUCUGGCAGUACACCAACCUACAUUCUUAGCUUUGACCCAUAUGUCUCCAAAUUCUGGCAGUACACUAACCUGCAUCUUUCGUUUCACCUUUUCAACCCAAAUUCUGGCAGUACAUCAACCUGCGUCUUUGGUUUUAACUUGUCAUUCCAAGUUCUGGCAGCACACCAACCUACGUCUUUGGUUUUAACUUGUCAUUCCAAUUUCUAGCAGUACACCAACCUACGUUCUUAGCUUUGACCCUUAUGUCUCCAAAUUCUAGCAGUACACUAACAUGCGUCUUUGGUUUCACCUUUUCAUCCCAAAUUCUAGCAGUACACCAACCUGCGUCUUUGGUUUUAACUUGUCAUUCCAAGUUUUGACAGUAUACCAACCUGCGUUCUUAGCUUUGACCCUUAUGUGUCCAAAUUCUGGCAGCAUACUAACUUGCGUCUUUGGUUUCACCUUUUCAACCCAAGUCCUGGCAGUACACCAACCUGCGUUCUUGGCUUUUACUCUUAUGUCUCCAAGUUCUGACAUUACACCAACCUGCAUCUUUGGUUUCACCAUUCUACCCAAAGUUCCAGAAGUAUACCUAAUAGCAUCUUGGUUUCACCGUAACAUUCUAUCAUGCAUGAUAAGAGCACAUUCCAAUCGUCUUGGAGAUGACUCAAAUAAAAAAAGAGAUGAUAAACACUUUCAAGCAAAGAGAUGUGGUCAAGGAAACUUUUAUGGACCUUGACAAAAUUAGCAUUCAUUUCUUUACUGGUUACUUACCUUGAUAUCUCACAAACCUCAUUUCGCUUGCUAUCAGGUAAGCAACAAGUAAAGAGGGGCAGCUGCGAAUACCCACUUUUGUCCGGCCCAUAAAAUCCCUAAAACUACUUUUGUUCGAUCCAUUGUUCAACAUUUAUUAGGAAUAAACUCUAAGUUACGGAACUCAAAAUCACGUUUUUCUCUGGCCGAAACUUAGCAAAACGGCCUGUAAUCGUCUCGGAGACUUUUAUUCUCCAAAAUUUUAAAAAAUUAGGGCAUGCAAGAAAAAAAACAUAUAUCCAAUGUAAAAAAAAAAUCAUACCUUAAAUAUGUUAUUAAUAAGGAUGACAAUAGAAAUGAAAAUAAUAAUAAAAAGAUAAAUGUUAUCACAAAAAAGUAACACAUACAUCCAAGCACUUUUCCAAGAACAUGAUGCUUCUUCAAAUCUGUAAGUAGUUGAUCAAAUUUGAUUUUGAAGACCCUUGAUAUUAUAUCUAGUCGAUCUUGUCGUUUUAAUUGCAUUGGAAUGUAAAUGUUAUAAAUAGGUCUAGAAAUCCAACAAAGCUAAAAAUUGACAUACCAUCAAAGUAAAGUUGAUCUAUAUGUCUUCUACCACCAACAAAUGAUGAAGGUAAUAUGAUCAUUUUGCCUUUGUUAGCUCCUUGGCUAUCAACUGGCAUCAUGCCAUUAGCUUCAUUGAUAAUGGUGGAUGUAAUAUUUGCUACAGGAGUAGCAUAUCUUUUCCCUUUGCUGAUAGAGGAUGAACUAUUGCAAAAACAAUUUCUACCAUUAACCAACAGUGUGUAUGUUUGAUUAAAAUUGAUUUAAAUAUAUGUCCUAAUAAUUUUUAUUCAUUUCAUUUGAUAAUGGACAUGACAAAAGGAUGUACCUGAAUUUUCACACUGCUUUUCAUUCCGUAUAUUUUGCAAUAUCAUUUUUCUAUUCAAACGUGCCUGUAUAUCAAACGAAAAAGAGAACAUAACUUGAGGGAUUGUUAAAUCAAAAGGUUGUCAUUGACAAUAUAUAUCGAUGAAAAAAGAACAAAAUAGGAUGAAGAAGAAGAAGCUAGAAAGGGAAAUAGACCAGACUUACUUAGCUUUCAAUGAUACUCCAAUGGUGAAGAACAAAAGUAUGAGAUAAAGAAGAAGAUGUUACUUACGUUUUGUUCUUUCUGCAGAAAUUUUUCCAACGUUUUAUUUUCUUUGAUUUCUAUUUUUGUUUUAAGUUGGUUUUUAAUUUGUGUAACCUUUGUUGGCACUUUAUGUUAGGAAGGAAAAUGAAAAGCCUAACAAUGAGUUGUUAUUUAGUGACAUUCUUUAGGAGGAUCCAUACCAAUUUAACAUUUUACUUUUACCAAGCAAAUUAAGAGCAACUUGAAGAAAAUGAUUUUAAAAUAUCAUUUCUUAUAUCAAUGGUUUUCAAUUUGUUCUUUACUUUUCUCAUUGUAGGGUUUUUAGUAAGAGGGAAUAAUAACAGAAAUUGGUUAAGAAAUGAGUUUGUCAUUGAAAUUUACAUUAUAAAUAAUAAUUUGACUUCACAAAUUGAUAGGUUUUUCAUUAUGAGGUAAUAUAAAAAAUAUACAAUAAAACAUACUUUUUUAUUUCAAUGGUUUUUUUUACUUCUUUCAUUUUUGGGACUUUCUUUAUUGCGGAAAAUAGGUGAGAAUGUCUUUCCUAAUGGAAAAUAUAAGAGAAAAGAGGGAACUGAUAUAUCGCUACAUGCAAAUAAACAUUUGAUUCAAAGACAUUUUCGCAUAGCAGUCAUUUCGUUCUUAGCAAGGGGAAUGUCUUUUUCUGUCGAGCUUUGUCAUAUCUAUAGGGUACGAAUAGGCUAGAAUCUAGAUGAGAAAAGAUGCCUUCUUUUAUGGUUUGAAAUCAAUAGAAAAUUAUUAUUAAUUGUUGGCAUGCAGUAGUGUAUUUGCAAUCAAGUUUUGAUAUAUUAAUUUUAAUGUUCAAUACCUUGCAAAUAUGUAUCGCUAUUUAUGAUUGGAUAUUUAUAAAAACAUAUCUUUAAUAAGUUAUAAUCAACAAUUGUGGACUUAAUUCUAGCCUUCUCUCCACAUUUAACUUUCAGAGAACACCAUCUAGAGAAUGUUUUUGAGUUGUUAUUUAGUGACAUUAUUUAGGAGGAUCCAUACCAAUUUAACAUUUUAAUAUCACCAAGCAAAUUAAAAGCAAACUGAAGAAAAUGAUUUUAAAAUAUCAUUUCUUAUAUCAAUGGUUUUCAAUUUGUUCUUUACUUCUCUCAUUGUAGGGAUUUUUAUUAAGAGGGAAUAAUAACAUAAUUUUGUUGAGAAAUGAGUUUGUUAUUGAAAUUGACAUUAUAAAUAAUGGUUUGAAUUCACAAAUUGAUAGUAUUUUCAUUAGGAGGUAAUAUAAAAAAUAUAUAAUAAAAUGAACUUUCUUAUUUCAAUGGUUUUUCUUUACCUCUCUCUUUUUUGGGAUUUUCUUUAUGACAAUAAAAAUAUAAAAAAAUGUUUGCUUCAAAAGUGAGAUUGUUACUGAAAUUUGCAUAAGAAAUAUUUAUUGGUUCACUUGAUCUUUUAUUGUUGUAAUAACUUUUGUUGAGCUUUUGUUAUGAUAUAAUAUAAAAAAACGAGACCAUAUUCAUGACUUUCUUAUUUGAUAGGUUUUUAAUUUGAAUUUUAAUAGAAUAAUUUAAUUUAGAACUGAGAUCAUAAAGUAUAUAUUUAUGUAAUACCUAACUAAGGAAAGUUGAUAGAGUAAAUAAGGCCCAUUUGUCUUAUUGAUGUAGUAAAUGGUUUCAAAUCAAAGAAAAGUUUAGUGGAUUAGUGAUGGAAAAGCAACAACCACUUUUAGCAUAUGUUAAAGGACUCAUAAAGCUCCCUUUUUAAAUCCUAUAUUGCUUACCAAACAACACUAUGAACUUUCAUUGAUGAUUGAUACUCCUAAAAACAUUGUGUUUUCAAGCAUAAUUUAGUAAAGAUGUGUUUCAUCAAAAUAGAAAGCAGUAAAAAAAGAAAAUUCCAGAAAUAAAAACUAACUGGAAAUGGGAAAAACUUAAAAGAUAUUUAUUUAUGGGCUAAGGUUGAGUGAUUCUUCAAUUAUUAAGCUAUAUUUGGCAAGAAGACAUAUUUUGGCGAAAUGGCAACAUUCUUAUUUAUUUACAAUCAUAUCUUAUUUGAUUUAUUCAAUAUUUGUAAUUACCCAUGCUGCAAUUAGGGUCACGUGUAAAAUAGAUCAGAAGCUACAAUAUGUGAAAGACACAAUUUUAGGAGCAACUGUAGAUGUUCAUUCAUGAAUAUAUGCUACUACCGAUCAAUGAAAAAGCAUUUGAACCAUUCCUUUUUCAUUAAUAUUAUAUUAUAAGACAAUUUAUUCACUCUAUGCACAUAUAGCUUGUCAUAUUAGACUAGUGGUAUUAAGAGUUUUGGAAUUUUGUUUUGGUAAAGACCAAAAGUGAUUAUAUUGUGUUAUAAAGACCAAUAGUGAUUAUAUUUUGUUUUUAAUGAACACAAUAAUAUUAUAACUAAUUAUUUAGUUUCCUUUGUAACCUAUGUUGGCCCUUUGCAUAAAGGGAAAAUGAAAAACAAUGUUCAUAUUUAAACUUUAGAGUCAUAAUUUUAGUUCACAUGGCCAACCUUUGGUAUGUCUCAAUAAACAAAAUAAAGAUGAAAAACAGAAAUUUGAGCAAUAGAAAAUGGAAGUCAUUACAUAGUCAACCACAUUAGUUCAAUAAACAAAAUACAAACAUAACAAAAAAUAGAAUUCAAAUAAAGGAAACCAUGGGCACUGUCCUCAAAAUAUUGAAACAUCAGUUUGUUCCUAGUCCAAAAAGUUUCAAAAAACCUAUAGAUAUUACAUACAGAUAAGGGCUUUACAUCCACUGUUAACAUGCUUGGCAUUUUUCGUCGAUGACAUUUGUGCAAAUGCAAGAUCUUGGGUAUCAUCAAACAUGGAAGAAGACUUGAGCCUCUUCAGAGGAGUCAAAUAUGCUAGAUAUUCAGGAUCAUAAUCAGCACUACCUGACAAUGAUUGAUGUGUCACAAAAAUUCCACAAGAAUGAAGGCCAAGGUUAGUGUUUGAAAUUAAGCAUGUAAGAAGAGGUAAUUUUUUAAAACUUUGGCUUACACAUCCGAACCUAUCAUCUUCCUUGCCCACAUUAGCAACAUACUUCCCCUUCUCAUCAGUGCUUGUCCUACACUCACAUAUUGUGAGAAACAAUAUACUUAUAUAGCAACAAACUUCCUCAUGUCAAGAGCAUGCAACUUUUUAUAAUAAAAAAAAACAUACCACAUUUGGAGUAAUUUUGUCCAAUAAGCAUGCAAUAACUUGAAAGUCCUCUAAAAUUUAUAUAACAGAAUAUUGUUUGUAGUUUGGAUGGACUUUGACUUUGAAUGUCAAUACUUUUGUAUCAAUGUCAUCAACAACCUGUGGAAUGGACAUUGGGUUAUGUUCACCCUUCUACACAUAUAACAAAGGUAAAGUAAGUAACAGUUUGUGGAGGCAUGCUAAGUAAAUAUGUGUUCAGUGAAGUAGGUUAACUGUUACUGAUAACAACAAUUCGCAAAGGUCAGUUGUAGGUCGUUUGAUCAAUUGGUCACACUCACAGUUCCAUAAAGUGAACUUCACACUGUCAUGACUAUAACUAACCCGAACCUCUACUCUAUACCUGCCAAAAAAUGAAGUAUGUUUUAAAGAAGAAAGACAUACACAUCAUUAACAAAUCAAUACAUCAUAUUGAAACAAUACUUUAUUAUAUAUUUUUAUUACCUAGCCACAACUUCCUACAAGUACUUUCCACAGUCGGCACAAUUAAUCAUUAUCCUAAUUGCAUCAGUCUUUCGAAUGCAAUGGGGGAAACCAUCAUUAUACCACCCAUUAGAAAAAAGUUUGUCAAUGGUGUCGUAAGUAAUAGAAACAGAUUCCUUCAGCAUGAAAGGAAAAGUGGAAACAGGUUAAAAUGAUUUGUUAACAUAGUUGCAUUAAUAGUUUACUUAAAACAUGACAAUUUAAAAAGGAGACAACUAACUUACCAACAUGAAUUAUCUCAACAAUUUUUUUACGGCUGCAUUAUGAAAGAACUUGUUCUACAACCCACCUUGAGGGAAAAAAGACGAUUGGCUCAUGUACUAACUGUAGGACUCAUAAUAUUUACUUGUGUCCAAGCUGUAGCAAACAAAGAUGACGAAUACAAUGGAAAUCCAAAUAAAUAAAUGAAAAAAUAGUAGAUUGUUAUCAUUGGAAAAGAACAAUUCCUAUCUUACCUACUGCUGAAAGAAUGAAUCUCUGGAAUAUUGUUGUCAUUUAUAUACAGCAUUGAAUCGUACAUGGUGUUCUAAAUAGUGACAAGGUAGCCUCAUACAAAAUUUCAGGUUAACAUUAGGAGAUUAUGUGAAAGUCGAAAUUAGAAAUUAAUAUAUUAACAAUAUUAAUAUAACAUGUAGCAUCCCUAAUAUUUGCAAGGAUCAGGAUCACAACAAUAUGACCAAGCUUGUCAUCAUGUUUAUACUUAAGCAAUUGUGUAGCGAAUUGUCCCCAUAAGGUGCAACUAAGACUAUCCCCCUACAAACAUUAAAAACAUUAACCUCAUAUUUGCUAUAGAUAGAUACAUAAAAGACACUGAAAAAUGGCACAAGUAUACCUUUUCUCUCGCAUUAUGAAAACUACCUUCUUUGGAGUAGAGUCUGUUUGACUCAUCUCUAUAUUAAUAAACUCAUCAAUAAUAUCUACAAAGAAAAUGCCAACAUAAAACCAAAAUUAUCUAGAAGUUACAUAAGUUAACAUGUUAUAAAUAUUGUAUGAUGACGAAAUGGCUACAAAAUAAUUAGUUACCAACUAAAAUAUCACUAGCAACAACACCAUUUAGAAUGUCUUCAAGUGUAGUAAACUUAAAAAUAUAAAGAGGAUUUUCUUAUAGAUGCUUGUUUUUCAUGAUAGUCUAUUUCUGAAAUAUUAACUUGAACGAGUGAUUUGAACUUCUAUAUUGUCUUUCUUUAGGAACAAUUUCAAAAUUCUCAACAAUAUUACUUCUGCCCUCCUGUAACUAAGACUCCCAUUGGGAUAUAUGAUAAUUCUUCACUAUUGCUUGUAUUUUGUCACCCUAACAAAAAGACAAACGACAAUUAGUUAUAUUUGAAUUUCAUAAUAAAAGUCUUUAAAAAACAAAAGUGCAAGCACAUUUUCAUCCAUAAAAAUCAUCUCAAUUGAUGGUGCAGAGGACCGAUCCACGCCAAAGACCAAUAACCCUCACCUUCAGCUUCCAAGUGUCUUUGGAAGCAUUGAUCUCGUUAAUGAAAUUUACCUUGCGGACCAUCUAUAGAAAUCACACUGUUAUUUCAUGAUUAUAAAAGAAAUAGAUAGAAUAAAACCCAGAGUAAAAACUAACUCGAUGUCGAAAGAAUGACAAACACAGUGGACCAAAAUAUUUGAGGGAAAAAAUGAAUGGAAUGAAGAAAUGAAGAAACAAAAGGAAUGAUAUUGUAUAUAGUGAUGAUUUAUGCACAUCAUGAAGUGGCAACCAAGAGAAACAAUGAGGAAUGUAACAAAAACAUGUGUCAUGCUUCUUGUUAUUUGAAGUAUUAUAUGUGAUAUAGUUUCAAUUUCAAAAAUUCAAUAGCAUAAGUAAUAAUAAUAAUAUAUUUAAUUGACAUGGAGGAGUUAAAACAUUAGGUAUGAUUACGUUAGCCAUGAUUUGUGUGGAGUUAUUGAAUAAUUAAAUGAAAAUGUGUGUCAUGUUUCUUGUUAUCUAGAUUCUAUGGGAUAUAUUUUCAAUUUCAAAAAUUCAAUGACAUAAGUAAUGAUAAUAAGGAUAUAUUUAAUUGUUAUGAAGGAGUUAAAACGUGAGCUAUGAUUACAUUGUGUGAAUACUCACUUUUGUUCGGCCCAUAAAAAUCUCUAAAACUACUUUUGUUCGAUCCAUUGUUCAACAUUUAUUAGGAAUAAACUCUAAUGUGUAUUAACCUUAGAAGCAUUUUGUUAAGCAUUGCGAAAUAUGGCACUAAAGUUUCUAUGUAGCAUUACUUUGUUAUAUAGGCUUGCCAUAUUAAGUAUUAUGUUGAAUAAUUUGAUGGGAUGGUAUUUGGGUCUUUUAAGUUUAACCAUAUUAGCCAUGACAUUGUUAAUUUACAUAUAAUAACAUUAAUUUACAUAUAAUAAUAUUAUAGUCUUCUUAUUUGUUGUAAACACUCAAAGGCUGAUAGCUAAUAUUAAGUAGGCAUAUUAAUAUUUAAUUUGAAAGUGGUCAAUAGAAAAUCAUAAUAUAAUAAAAUAAAAAAUAGGUUGAAAGUGGUCCCUUCAAUUGGGGGAACCACUAUGUGAGAGAGGAUUGUUACCCUUUAGGGACGGAAGUUAUUUUGUUGUAUUUGGCUUUAAGUAAGUGAGCAGGUUGGUAAAAGAAAUAGAACACACGAAAAAGGCAAUCAAAAAGAGAAAGUAACAUAUACAAAAAGGGUACAACAGUAAACAACGAAAAAAGAGAGUCAGAGAGAAAAACAACAACAGUGAAAGGUUCACAAAAAGGGAAAAGUAGAUAGAAAGGAUAAAAAGGCAGAGUAGGGGAGAGGUAUACUUAUUGAAAAAAGAUAGUAAUUCAAUAGUUUUUCUAAAAGGUUAGUGUCUUUUUACCUAUUUUUCCCCAUUUUGUUUUAGCAUUCAAUAUCCAUGUACAUAUUUUCAUUGUGCAACAGUCAUUCAUAUUUCUAUAUUUUCUUCAUGUUUAAGCAUUGAAACAUACAUGCAUACACUAUUUUUCUGUUAUAAAAAUUUACUCACAUCCAAAACACUAAAGGGUUCUCUUUAUUUGUAAACAAUGGUAAUUUAUUUGAGGUUUCUGGCAUUAAUAAAAAAAAUCUCAUACAACAUCAUGAUUUGUGUCGUUAAUGUUAUGAACAGAGAUACGUCCUUAUACGCUAUUAUGCUAUUAAUUUAUAUAUUAUAACACCGGAAACUCAUGAACACUUAUUUAGCUCUAAUGAACAAACAAAAACAACACAUAAACUGAAUCAAUCAGCAUCAUUUUAACCCCCUAAAACAAAAUCACAUUCAUUCCUAUAAAUAAACAUAGGCAAUAUAGGAUUAUCAACCAGUAAAUUAAUUCAGUAAUAGUGUUCAUUCCCUUAAAUCAUCAACUAAAACCAUCAUCUAAUAUCUCUCAAUACCUCAUUCGGUAAACUUGGGACAAAAAUAGAAGAAAGGGGUCAAUCUGCCCCAGAAUAUUUAACCACCGUGUGGAGCCGGAGACCAUGCCGGUGAUGAUCGGAGAAGAUGAAAAAGAAGUGGUCGGUUCAGUGGUUCAUCCUACCCACCACCAUCUGUUGAAACCAAAGAACCAUGGAGCCCAACCACGGCCAGAGGAGAAGACCCUUCCUUACCUUACCGAUAGAGCCAUGAAGACUCCACCCCCCUCAGCCAAAUCGCGUCCAAACGAGGAUGCAUACUUCUCUCGCUGCCGACGUCAUGAAUGGUACCUCUGCCAUCGCCAAACUGUGUCUAGGAGUGGGUCACUUUCUUGAAGUCGCUGGACCGUGCUCCGGCACCCACCGCUACCUCUGGAUGGCCACCGUAGAAGGGGGAAGAGAGUCUGAUAGCCUUGCUGCUUCGGCACGUCGCGUCAUCACCAUAAAAGCUGCUAACCGUCGCUGAGAUUGGUGUUGCACUUAGGGAUUUCAUUCCCUUUGCUCUUUGGAACCAACAGGGUAACACGAUUACCCCUUUCUUCUAAAUAAAGUGUUUGCUUUUAUUUUAGUUUUCUCAUUUAGUCUUUGUAGUUUAUUUGUUAAAAAUUCCCUUUAGUUCACUAGGGAUGGCAAUAAAAACCGAACUCGUGG
rnacentral:lncRNA from 1 species